CCUACGGGGGGCAGCAGUGAGGAAUAUUGGUCAAUGGCCGGAAGGCUGAACCAGCCAAAUCGCGUGAGGGACGACUGCCCUAUGGGUUGUACACCUCUUUUAUAAGGGCAGAAUAAAUGCUACGUGUAGCAUGAUGCCUGUAACUUAUGAAUAAGCAUCGGCUCACUCCGUGCCCGCAGCCGCGGUAAUACGGAGGAUGCUAUCGUUAUCCGGAUUUAUUGGGUUUAAGGGGUGCGUAGGGGGUUGUUUAAGUUAGUGGUAAAACGUCGGGGCUUCACCUUGGUUUGCAAUUAAUAAGGUAAGACUCGAGUUCAGACGAGGUAGGCGGAAUAAGUUAAGUAGCGGUGAAAUGCUUAGAUAUAACUUAGAACUCCGAUAGCGAAGGCAGCUUACCAGACUGCGACUGACGCUGAAGCACGAGAGCGUGGGUAGCGAACAGGAUUAGAUACCCCUGUAGUC
rnacentral:rRNA from 1 species